GACGAACGCUGGCGGCGUGCAUAACACAAGCAAGUCGAACGGAAAGGCCCUGCUUUUGUGGGGUGCUCGAGUGGCGAACGGGUGAGUAACACGUGAGUAACCUGCCCUUGACUUUGGGAUAACUUCAGGAAACUGGGGCUAAUACCGGAUAGGAGCUCCUGCUGCAUGGUGGGGGUUGGAAAGUUUCGGCGGUUGGGGAUGGACUCGCGGCUUAUCAGCUUGUUGGUGGGGUAGUGGCUUACCAAGGCUUUGACGGGUAGCCGGCCUGAGAGGGUGACCGGCCACAUUGGGACUGAGAUACGGCCCAGACUCCUACGGGAGGCAGCAGUGGGGAAUAUUGCACAAUGGGCGGAAGCCUGAUGCAGCAACGCCGCGUGCGGGAUGACGGCCUUCGGGUUGUAAACCGCUUUCGCCUGUGACGAAGCGUGAGUGACGGUAAUGGGUAAAGAAGCACCGGCUAACUACGUG
rnacentral:rRNA from 1 species